GGAGAAGUGACCGAGUGGUUUAAGGUAGAUGUCUUGAAAACAUCCGCACGCAAGUGCCGUGGGUUCGAAUCCCACCUUCUCCUCCA
rnacentral:tRNA from 1 species